CUCCUUAUUGUUGAUUGAAUGUUUUGGUUUCUGGCUUAACGCGCAUGUCUGAACAUUUGAAGUAAAUACCAAACGUGUUUGUACCUUACAGAAUAACCAAGCUUUCAAACUAUAGCUUUCCUUUGAGUGUUUCCAGUUGGAUAUAGCAACAUGUCCAUACAAUGAAAGAAAUCAACAAAUUUUCCCCAUGAUAUCGGGAAUAUAAAGCAAACUACCAUCUUUUAGCCACUCAGUCAGGCGAUACAUCUCUUUUCUUUUCGUGCAGAUCGGCGUGACUCUUUAAGAAGAGCAACGGAAAUUCAUCUCAUCAAGGAAAUGGAAAGCAGCAAUGGAUGCAAUGUCAGAGAAAGAGGGUUUGUUUCGGCUUUGAAAGACGGCUAUGGCUUCAUUCAGUGUUGCGAUAGGGAUACAAGAUUAUUCUUUCAUUUCAGCGAGUUGAUUGAUGCGG